rnacentral:piRNA from 1 species
UAAGUGCUUUUGCCUUUGCAUUUAUUGUG